rnacentral:lncRNA from 1 species
AUGCUCAACAUUGUCCCCAGGGCCUGCCUCACAGACUUAUUGCCACAAAAACAUCAAAAAUACAAAAUACAUUCAAAACGGAAACUCCUGAGACUCACCUGCCUUGGAGUGAUUGAAUCAGGACCUGUAGGGUGUGGUCCAGGUAUCUCUGACAAAAGGAAUUCUGAUGAGCAGACAUCCUGGGAAGUGGUGAGUUGAACUAUUUUUCAGUUAGGAGAAGUGGCUCUCUACAGGUUCAUGCAGGUAGAUGCUGUGAGAGUUAGAAAUAAAACCUGGACUUACCUUUUCUUAGUCUAGGCUUUUUCAGAUACACCACACUGUUGCACAUACGAAAAAAUUCGUGACAUAUUUCUUAGUUCUAGGCAACCUGUGGCGAUGUCAGUUCAAAUCCAUUACAAUCUAAAAUAGAAUUCUCUUCAAAGUCAGUUUAUAAAUUGUGUGAAAAAAAUCAUACAUUUUUGGCCCAGUGGCUUACUUAGAUUUUUUCUUUUAUUCUCUGUGGCCAGUGUUGACUCUAAAUGACAUUAGGUUUUAUCACAAUUCUAUCAUCAGAGGAUCCACUAUAGUCCUC